GACGAACGCUGGCGGCGUGCUUAACACAUGCAAGUCGAACGGAAAGGCCCUGCCUUUGUGGGGUGCUCGAGUGGCGAACGGGUGAGUAACACGUGAGUAACCUUGCCUUGACUUUGGGAUAACUUCCGGAAAAUGGGGCUAAUACCGGAUAGGAGCUCCUGCUGCCUGGUGGGGGGUGGAAAGUUUCGGCGGUUGGGGAUGGACUCGCGGCUUAUCAGCUUGUUGGUGGGGUAGUGGCUUACCAAGGCUUUGACGGGUAGCCGGCCUGAGAGGGUGACCGGCCACAUUGGGACUGAGAUACGGCCCAGACUCCUACGGGAGGCAGCAGUGGGGAAUAUUGCACAAUGGGCGGAAGCCUGAUGCAGCAACGCCGCGUGCGGGAUGACGGCCUUCGGGUUGUAAACCGCUUUCGCCUGUGACGAAGCGUGAGUGACGGUAAUGGGUAAAGAAGCACCGGCUAACUACGUG
rnacentral:rRNA from 1 species